GGCACUGGUUCCGCCUUCCCGCUCCUCUAAGGAUGCUUAGAAUGACCCAGUGUUUUCUCUGUGGUUCUCCUUGACGGUCGUAGCAGCAAACCCCGAGAGAGGAUGUAUAAGGAAUACCAAGCCUUUCCCAGCAAAAAGCGGGAAGGGGCCCAGGCCCCGGGAGUCCCUCACUGAAGGACGACUCACAGAAAUAAAAUCCACACGCAUCUGGAGAUCAGCAGUCUCCGGGCUGGGUGCACGAGUCUUCCCUGCUUCCGCCUCGUCAGGCCUGUUCACCUUGGGUUCACACAGCCAUUUACCAGACCUUUUAGUCCCCACGUCGCCGGAGAGACCUUUUAGUCCCCACGUCGCCGGAGAGAUCGAGCGUCCCAUCCCCACGAGUCACGCCGCGAGCACAAAAGGUUACAUUAAUGAUGGGCAGUGCGCAGCAAGACAGUCAAAAGACUGUCCGAGGGAAAGGUUGCUAUCACUAUCAAGAUCAUUAAGUCGCCGGCGUUUCUUCCUGCGAGCAGCAGCUGCCCUCUGGGGCCGUUUAUUUUCCUUUCUUUCUUCAUCUAAAAUAGUAGAAAUGUCUUUCCCACGGUGACCUGUGAUGGUGGAGAUAUCUUUUCCUCGGCCAACUCCUGAAAGGAAGAGGUGUCUGUGGGCCUUUCUGACUCAACAAUAAUUUUUGGUCCCACAACAAAAAUUAAAAACCACUGAAUAAGGCAGGUAGCUCUUAGCCUUUGCGGCAGCAUAUGCACCUUGUCACUGGGAGGGACAUACAGUCUGCACAAAUGCUGUGUUUUCCUCUCUGUGGCUAUCACUGCUAGACAUGCAGACAUGUGAAGAAGAGUCCUCCUCAAUGUAGGGGACCAGGAGAGUGUCUGCUUCCUCCUUGGGAUGCUGAAUACACUCUCUAUGUCGAAUACCUGUGUUUUUUGACAGUACCAGCUGAUGCCAGAUCAAGGUGGAAUUUUCCAUUUGAACCAACAUGUGAUUAAUUCUUUUAUAUUAUUUUCUAUUUUAGAUUUUAUACAAUACAAGAAAUAAAAGAUCAAAUAUCAAAUUG
rnacentral:lncRNA from 1 species